rnacentral:rRNA from 1 species
UCUGUUCCUUUUUUUCCCUCCUCCUUUUUAUUACGUAGGGAGCAAGCGUUAUCCGGAUUUACUGGGUGUAAAGGGUGCGUAGGCGGCUUGGUAAGUCAGAUGUGAAAUGUAUGGGCUCAACCCAUGCACUGCAUUUGAAACUAUUGAGCUUGAGUGAAGUAGAGGUAGGCGGAAUUCCCUGUGUAGCGGUGAAAUGCGUAGAGAUAGGGAGGAACACCAGUGGCGAAGGCGGCCUACUGGGCUUUAACUGACGCUGAGGCACGAAAGCGUGGGUAGCAAACAGG